AUUGAACGCUGGCGGCAGGCCUAACACAUGCAAGUCGAGCGGAGCGGCGGACGGGUGAGUAAUGCCUAGGAAUCUGCCUGGUAGUGGGGGAUAACGUCCGGAAAAGGGCGCUAAUACCGCAUACUAUCAGAUGAGCCUAGGUCGGAUUAGCUAGGUGGUGGGGUAAAGGCCUACCAAGGCGACGAUCCGUGACUGGUCUGAUAGGAUGAUCAGUCACACUGGAACUUAGACACGGUCAAGACUCCUACGGAAGGCAGCAGUGGGGAAUAUUGGACAAUGGGCGAAAGCAUGAUCCAGCCAUGCAGCGUGUGUGAAGAAGGUCUUCGGAUUAUAAAGCACUUUAAGUUGGGAGGCGUUACCAACAGAAUAAGCACCGGCUAACUUCGUGCCAGCAGCCGCGGUAAUUC
rnacentral:rRNA from 1 species